AUGUUCCUUCACAUGUUCAUGCCUUCGACCUUCGACAGGUGUUUGCUGGAGCAGAGAGCCAGGCAGGUGAGUGAUCUGGGGAAUCCUGAGGACCGAGAGCAAGUGAGCAGAUUUCCCUGGACCUGUCCUCAUGUAACCUGUGCGACAGAGUGUGUGAGAAUUGGAUCGAGCUUUGUGUUUCUUGUGGAUCGGAGGAGACUGAAGAGGAGCAUGUGGAGUGGACCAUGGACUGAGUGUGGACCUAUGAGCGUGUGUUGAGUGCAAGCAUCUUUCCUUGUUUGUGUGGGUUCCCGGAACCCAUCUUUUCCCCCACUUUGUAAAUAGCUCACCAGGUGUUUCUGUAAAUAAAGACUCUUUAUUGUUCCCGACGCAGAGCCUGCGCGUGAUCCCGUUCAGUAACAUUGUGACACUAUGAGGUCAUUAAGAUAAGAUGGGACCUGACUAUUCAAGACCUUGUAUGUGAGGAGCAGGAUUUUGAAUUCAAUUCUGGAUUUAACAGGAAGCCAAUGAAGGGAAGCCAGUAUAGGAGGAAUAUGCUCUGUCUUUCUAGUCCCUGUCAGUACUCUUGCUGCAGUAUUUUCAGGGAGUUUUUAGGACACCCUGAAAAUAACAACUCACUUUUGGCUUUCAAGAAUAAAAGGAAUCAGGUAUUAAACUAGUUAGGCAAGUAAGCACUUUAUUACUCUUUUCAUGGGUGUGCACGCAUUCGUCUACUCAGACAGGUGUCAUAUUUGAACAAUCGUUGCCUGAUAUUAAAAUGGUUGAGCACAAGGCAAACAUUCUCCACCUGCCAAAACAUUGACACAAGACUUGUACGGUGUAUUAUAUACGUGAUACACCCAACGUGACGAGAUCCAUGUUCCUGGAAAUUUUUACCAGUCAUGAUAGCACUGGUUUUACUUUGUUAGCUAUUCUUUACUCAUGGUGACAUAUUUAACAGGAACCCCUGCAAAGGUGAUUUUGAGUGCAUUGUCAAAAGGUUUUUGGGACUUCAUUAAUGAAAUACAAAAGCUUAUGUGUUCAUUUAAAGCCUCAGUGCUCCUCCUAUUUUUAGGUACCCACAUGGAGUCCACUUCUGACCAUUUGAAUUUGUGCAUUUGUAAUGUGAGCUGAAUCAGCAAAUGUCUAAUUUGGCUCCAGUAUAGUCCACAUUCUUUUUGAAUUUUUAAUGUCUUUCUUAUGCUUCAUGUUUGCUAUCUUUGCUAGUACAUAAAUAAAAAGAUUCCCAGCUCCACCAGCUCAUAUGGGCUAACCCAUAAAUAUAUAAGAGAGAGAUAAUGAAUCUGUUCCAGUUAAGUGACACUAAUUGGUGGAAGUGAAGUCGCCAGAUGGAGCUGAAAUCAGCUGUGAGUCAAAGCAGCCAUGUACCCAACUUUAACUCUCAAUAAACCUAUUGUAACAUGCAUAUUUUUAUUCUAUUAAUUGACAGCAAAAUAAAGCCAGAAUUGUUUUUUUAAUCGAAAAUUGUGGCUUGUGGUAUCUUGUUGUAAGAUAUUGUAAAUAAAAG
ensembl:lncRNA